UACGUAGGGCGCAAGCGUUGUCCGGAAUCAUUGGGCGUAAAGCGCGUGUAGGCGGUCCGGUAAGUCCGCUGUGAAAGUCGAGGGCUCAACCCUCGAAUGCCGGUGGAUACUGUCGGGCUUGAGUACGGGAGAGGCGAGUGGAAUUCCUGGUGUAGCGGUGAAAUGCGCAGAUAUCAGGAGGAACACCGAUUGCGAAGGCAGCUCGCUGGAACGUUACUGACGCUGAGACGCGAAAGCGUGGGGAGCAAACAGG
rnacentral:rRNA from 1 species